ncrna:unclassified sequences IMES-1 RNA motif
AUCAGACCGACUUGGAAACAACUCGAGACGAAGAAAAGGGGGGAAGAUAGGUUAGAGAACGGAAGGUGAAAGCUCUAGAAAACAGCUAGCAAAAAAAGUUUUUUAGACCACCAAGGUUGGAAGAGAAACCAGCUAAGGAGCUAAGCAGAAUCUCGGUUUAGACACUUUCGAACUCGAACUAAAGA